AUUAUCGGGUAAUCGAGCGUGAAAGUUAAAUCUUGCGUUAGGAAAGUCCAUGCUAGCACAGGCUGAGAUGCCUGUAGUGUUUGUGCUAAACGAAAAAAUAAGUUUAGGCACUCUUGCAAAAGAGUGACGGCGAAGAAAUGGAUGUAAAAGGCCAAAGUAUUCAUAAAUGUGCCACAGUGACGAACCACAUAAAAUAUAUGUGGUGUGAAACGGGUAAACCCCUCAAGCUAGAAACCCAAAUUAUGGUAGGGGCACGGUUAAGGGAGAAAUGAAUCCACUUAACUGACAGCUUUAAAACUGUAGAUAAAUGAUUACCGACUUUUUAAUUAAAGUUACAGAACAUGGCUUAUAGAU
rnacentral:RNase_P_RNA from 1 species